AUACCUUUCUUGGCCUUUUGGCUAAGAUCAAGUAUAGUAUCUGUUCUUAUCAGUUUAAUACCUGAUAUGUGGGUCAUCAGCUCACACGAUAUUAAAUUUAUUUUUUGAGGGUGAAAAUCCAUCAAAGUAGCUGGCUACUUGGGUUUCCAAGAGUCGCCCAUGCGUUCCACUAUUGCACGGGCCAAACACACCCCAC